rnacentral:rRNA from 1 species
GACGGCGGAUACAAGGGUUCUCCGGAAUCACUGGGAGUAAAGCGUCUGUAUGUGGUCAAAUAAGUCAACUGUUAAAUCUUGAGGCUUAACCUCAAAAUCGCAGUCGAAACUAUUAGACUAGAGUAUAGUAGGGGUAAAGGGAAUUUCCAGUGGAGCGGUGACAUGCGUAGAGAUUGGAAAGAACACAAAUGGAGAAGGCACUUUACUGGGCUAUUACUAACAGUCAGAGACGAAAGCUAGGGUAGCAAAUGGG